rnacentral:tRNA from 1 species
GAGGGUAUAGCUCAGUGGUUGAAUGCGUGUUUAGCAGACACAAAGUCCUGGGUUCUAUUCCCAGUACCUCCA